rnacentral:rRNA from 1 species
AUUGAACGCUGGCGGCAGGCUUAACACAUGCAAGUCGAGCGGGGGAAGGUAGCUUGCUACCGGACCUAGCGGCGGACGGGUGAGUAAUGCUUAGGAAUCUGCCUAUUAGUGGGGGACAACAUCUCGAAAGGGAUGCUAAUACCGCAUACGUCCUACGGGAGAAAGCAGGGGAUCUUCGGACCUUGCGCUAAUAGAUGAGCCUAAGUCGGAUUAGCUAGUCGGUGGGGUAAAGGCCUACCAAGGCGACGAUCUGUAGCGGGUCUGAGAGGAUGAUUCGCCACACUGGGACUGAGACACGGCCCAGACUCCUACGGGAGGCAGCAGUGGGGAAUAUUGGACAAUGGGGGGAACCCUGAUCCAGCCAUGCCGCGUGUGUGAAGAAGGCCUUAUGGUUGUAAAGCACUUUAAGCGAGGAGGAGGCUACUCUAGUUAAUACCUAGGGAUAGUGGACGUUACUCGCAGAAUAAGCACCGGCUAACUCUGUGCCAGCAGCCGCCGUAA